UACGUAGGGUGCGAGCGUUAAUCGGAAUUACUGGGCGUAAAGCGUGCGCAGGCGGUCUGUUAAGACAGAUGUGAAAUCCCCGGGCUUAACCUGGGAACUGCAUUUGUGACUGGCAGGCUAGAGUAUGGCAGAGGGGGGGUAGAAUUCCACGUGUAGCAGUGAAAUGCGUAGAGAUGUGGAGGAAUACCGAUGGCGAAAGGCAGCCCCCCUGGGCCAAUACUGACGCUCAUGCACGAAAGCGUGGGGAGCAAACGAGG
rnacentral:rRNA from 1 species